rnacentral:rRNA from 1 species
AGCCAUUAGAUGAUACUAUAUGGUUUUACCUGCCCAAUGUUACGAUGAAUGGCCGCGGUACCCUGACCGUGCUAAGGUAGCGUAAUCAGUUGACCUUUAAAUGAGGUCAGGAAUGAAUGGAAUAACCGGGUUUAGCUGUCUCCAAAUCAUUAUAUUGAAUUUACUAUCUAAGUGAAAAAGCUUAGGACUUAAAAAAGGAGGAGAAGACCCUUAGAAUUUUUUUAAAAAGGAUUUUAAUUUCCUUACAGUUUUAUUGGGGCGAUAAAGAAAUAAUUAAAACUUUCUUUUUUAACAAGCCGAUUGUAUUAAGUAAGAAUAAAUUACCUGAGGGAUAACAGCAUAAUUCUACAAUUGAGUUUGUGACCUCGAUGUUGGACUAGGAAACCAGUAGAGAACUAGCCGUUUACUGUGUUAGGUU